AACAUAUGAAUUUGGGGAGAAACACAAGUAUCCAGUCUAUGGAAUCUUCUUCUGUUUUCUUAGUAACUCUUGGUAUUUUCUAAUUUAUGUGUUGAUCUGUUUAUCAUCUGUUUCCCCUGCUGGAAUGUAUGCUUCAUAGGGAGAGGCCAUUUCUGCCUUUUUCACUGUUAUAUCCCCAAGCCUUUCAGCCACGGGGAUAUAGCAGACGCUCAAGUAAUAAUUGUUGCAUGAAUAUUCGCCAUAUUCAUCAUGAGCUAUCAGUGCAGCAAGCAUACAGGCAUCAUUGGAGUGAGUCUGUUACAUCUGGAGAUAGUUCAGCAUCUUUGUGUUUAUCUUUGGCCUGAAGGGUAAUAUUCUCAUCAUGCACCUGCAUUCAACAAGCACAGCCACACUCACCUGCUGGGUCCUUGAUGUUCCCCAGGCUUCCUGAGAAGUUAAUCAACUCUAGGAUAGAGGUAAUGAUGCUCUGUCCACUACAGAAAUGACAUGACAAGAGCUUUAAAGGGUUAAUUAACUUUUCCAGUGUCACUCAGCUACUCAGGGAUGGUGAUGUGACUCAAACACAUGGCUGAGAGUAUUUUAACUCCCUGCUCAGCUUGGACCCAUAUACACAUGAAUACUUGUAUUUUGGUGGAUUCAUUGCUUCUUUCCUAGGGUUGCAUUUAAUUCUUUGUCUUUAACCAUACUUGGCACUUGACUAAACAAGUGAAGCUUGUUAAGUCUCUCUGGCUGUUUUCAUGCCCCCAAAGAAGCAGCACAGUGUAGUGUUCAGUGAUGUGUGCCCUCCAGAGCCAGCCUGUCUGGGGUCCCCCAUCAGAUCCUGGCUACCUUGGGCAAGUAAUUGAACAUCUCAGUGACUCCAAUUCUCCAUCUGUAUAAUGGGAGUCAUGAGAAUAGUGACCUCAAAGAUUUGUUGACCUUAUAGAUUUGUAUUUAGCUGUGAAAAGUUCUGCCUUUGAUUAGGAAAGACAAAGCUGUGUGAGAGCAUUGAUUCCCCCACUGAAAAGCAGGAAGAUCCAGGUAAUCUAACCAAAUAAUAACCUAUCUUUCUUGAAACUAUGAGAGAGCUGAGGUGGCAAGGCAACCAGGUGAACUACAUUCCAAAAGGUGACAGAAAAGAGAUGGGGCCCAUGAACUGUUUAAUCUUGGCAACAUGCAGAAAGAGAGGUUGGUCACCAUAAAAUUGAUUGGGAAGAAGAUAGCUAAAAUUUUAAUAAAUCCUUAAAAGUGAGUGUGAGCUAGCAUGAUUAGUAUAAAAUCUGGGAGCCCAGAGACGAGGAGCAUCCAUAUUAACUCUCAAGACCUUUGCCUUGGUCUUCCACUGUGAAGGUCAUGGAGACAAGAAGAGACCAGGAGAGAUGCCCACCUUGGUGGUAUCCAGGCAUCCCCUUCACUCUUAUGAGACAAAGCCCUCAUCUUCUGGAGCUGUGGGAGCAGGAACCCUCAGCUCCAGUCCCAGUCAAGGUAGAUCAAUGCAGAGGGUAGAAAAAAAGCUAUGCAUCCAAGAGGGAAGGGCAGAAAAGACUUUAGGUAGGACCCAAGAUCCUAAACUGGUAUACAACAGAGGUCUGCCAUCCCUGGGGGAUAGAUGGGAGAUGCUCUCCUACCCAAGACCCCCCCACACAGGUACAAGGCAGAGGGUAUGCUAUGGAGGGAGGAGGAUCAAGGGGUAUAGGAACCCCCUCCCUUGCCCCCAGGCCCAGCCUCACAGUGCCUGCCUAAGACUGGAGAAGAAGGAACAGCCAGUCCAUACCCACACCAUCAUCUUGAACAGGCAACAAGAAAUGGCAGUGUGCCACAGAGAGAGGACAGAGCGUGGGAAGGGUGCCUCCUCCAUGAUACAGGCAGGGAGAAAUCACUGGAGGCUGAGAUGGGGCACAAGGUAAUAGUAGCCCACAAAAGGAGGAGUUUGGGCUCUCAGGCUCACUAAAGGUAACCAUAGCAACAAUAAAACCCAACUCAACUCUUGACCAGGUUGCCUCAAUCUCUUACAUCUAUGGCCUUACAGGAAAAAAGUAAAUCUCACUUCUGAGAGUAAAAUACUAUUUACUUCACUGUCCACUGUUUCUCUACACACAGUUUCUGUAAUUUAAUUUAAAAAAAAUUGUGAGACACACAAAAAAGCAAGAAUAAAACACCCCAUUGUCAAGAGACAGAAGAGUAAUAGAACGAGACCCAGAAGUGACCUAUGGUUUGCAGCUAUCAGACAGGGCCUUUAAAAUAACUAUAGUUAAUAUAUUAGGAAAUCUAAUGAAAAGGUAGACAACAUGCAUAAAUGCGUGGGGAAUUUCAGCAGAGAGAAGUAAAGUAUAAGUAAGGUCCAAAUGGAAAUGCUGGAAAUGAAAAUCGUGAUCAAAGAGAUGAAAUGCCAUUGAUGUAAAGAACUUGAAUGGUGCCCAUAAUGCAUUAAGUGCUCAGCAUUUGUGAGUUUUGUUAUUCUGGAGGGCAGGGAAUAUGUCUUUUUUACCUUGCCCCUAGUGGGCUUAGCAUUCAGCACGGGACUGGACUCAUGGGAGGUCCACAGCCAGGAAUGUGCAAAUGAACACAGUGCCAGCAAGAGAAGAAUGACUAGUUUUCUCCAACGACAUGUAUGGAAAAGCUUGUAAACUGUUGUUAGUAACACUAUUGGAGUUUUGUCAUAGACAAGGGGCUGUUCUAAACUUUUCACAUUUGGUCACUCUCUAAAUAUCAAUCUCCUUACAAAGUAGGUACAAUUAUUCUCAUUUAACAGAUGGAGCUAUAGCCACAGAGCAGGAAAUUGUAGGCUUGGGCCACUCUGAUGGAACACAGCCUGCCUUAGCACCCACAUUCUUAGCCCUUUCAAGAUGAAAAUGUUCAUUCCUUGCCAGAACAAUAUGUGAGUUUCACCAUUGAUCCCCAUUAUGUUUUAUGGGCCAAUGGGCUUCUAGUUCUGAAGAAUCAGCUAACAGCAUCAACAGUAAUAAUAAUAGCUGGCCAUCGCUGAGCACUUUCUCAUGUAGGGUAAGCCACCAUGCUGAGUAUUUAAUGCACAUGAGCUGAUUUAAUCAGCUAUCAAUGCUAUGAGGGAGAUAGCUCUCAUCAUCCCCUUACACUGAUGAAGAAAAUGAGACACAGAGAAGUGAAGCUACUUGUCCAUAAUCAGACAGUUUCCAAGUAGUGGUUUAGGGCCAGUAUGUCUGCUCUUCAUCCUUGUACUAAAAUGCCUCCAGGCUAGAAAGUUCUGGAGAGCCAUCAAACAUUGCUCCUGCACAGGGGAAACAAAGUUGUCUGAGAAAAAAUUCAGGACAGAGGGAAGUGGAAAUGAGCAGGUCAGAUGUUCUUGUGACAUCACUGAGACUUGAAGCUGGCUCAGGUGUUCUUGUGACAUCACUGAGACUUGAAGCUGGCACCAUGGGUUUUUAAGAUGCAUGAGUCAAUGUACUGACUUUUUUGUUUAAGCCACUUUGAGUUAGGCUUUCUCUACCUUGUGAGCAUCUAAGUCUCUCUCAGAAGCGGUCUGGUCUGGAGGAGGAUGUGACAGUGGCUGCCGUAUCCACUGGUCCUCAGAUGGAGGUGAAGGGUGCCUGAACUGCAAUCCACAGUUGCCACAGAAUUUUAUCAGCAUGGGGAAAGCAAGCGUGCUUCUUGUAAGCUUACCGUUCACCCCACAGAGAGCUAGGGUCUGAAAUGCCCCAAAACGAACCCUCAAAAAUCUAUCUGCCCUUAUCUCUAUGAUAUUUAACAUCACUGACCAAUAUCACCCCCUGGAUUUGAGGGUCUAAAUCAUGAGUAGAAUCAGGAUGUGCCUUUCUGGCCAGAUGGCCCAGGGCAGGAUUGGGAAGCUGAUAAUGAGAAAGCUUUCAACUAGAUUAUCUUUCAGAUUCCCUGUGAUAACUCAGAUCCCAAAUCCCUUUGAUCCCCAAAUCUUGAGAGCUCUGUUUGCUCCACCUGAUUGCUUCCAUGAACUGUCCACUUUGGACUAAGACUUGUACUUCUUCCCAUCUUCUUGGAACACAAAAUUAAUUUUCUAUACCCAAUUUUCAACCAAAUUCCAUUUUCUAGCUUUCCGGCAACUUCCAUCCAGGUUAGUCAUUUAGCCUGUUGGUUUCAGGUCUCCUCUUUAAAAGAGAGAAAAAAAUGAUCCCUCAUGCUUCACAGGAGGAUUGUGAGAAUUAAUUAAUGUUUGUAAAGGGUUUUCCAUCCUGUAAUGUCUUUGAUAUCAGAGGAUGAAAGAGUGUGAGCGGUGGUGAUGAGGACCUGGUUCAGGAGGGAAAAAGAGAGAACAAUUCUCUGUUCGUUUUAGUGCUCAUCCAUGCUGUUCUGACGCUUAACGAACUCCUUUUAAGUUAUUCCAAGUUAAAUGGAUGCAUGUCAAUCCUAUUGCUUUGAUGAAGCCAUCCAAAUAAAAAUAAAAAUUCAAAACACUUUUGUACAAACCGAAUGUGGAGGUAGAAGUCUGUUUCUUGUCAACCAGAACCCUAACUGCUGCUGUAGCCCCUACCCUGUCAUCACUAGGAAGGUUGUGAACCAAUCUGCUCACCUGUGGGUCCUCCCCCAGACUGUGAACAUCCUUUCAAUUCUAAGGAAAGAAGAAGGACUCCCCCGCCUCCAAGAGCACGGAGCGGACAGGUUAUGAGCAAUGGAAAGAUAGUUGGUGUCGCGUCCACGUUUUGUGCAGAAAAAAAAAAAAGCACAAGAACCAGAGCCUUCCUUAUUCUGCCUCUCCUGAAAGCCCGCUUUUGUGUGCACGUAUCUGUAUUUCCCUGGGGCAGGUGCCUAGGGGCUCAGCCACUGUGCGUCUUCUGAAUGCCCCAAGGAUGUCCACCCAUUAGGUUCCCGGCCGGUGCCCCAUCGCCCAGCCAGGCAACAGACCUUCUGUGAUUGCCAGCCACGUUUUGUCGGGAAAUGCGCCGCAUCUUUCCUGGGGCCCACGCAGGAGAAAAAUGAACGCUCAGACGAUAGUCUCGCGCCCAACCCCGUGCCAGGAUUAAAGGCGGAGAACCCAGUCCUGCCCUCAAAACCGCAAACUCGAGCAGGCAGGAGAGGCCGUGGCCGGACCUUGCUGACGCAGGAGCAGAGUGCGGCCCUGGAGUCACGUGGGGGAGGCCGGUCACUCUCGUCCCCUCUCCUUGGAGAAAGCAGGUCAGGGGAGCAGCCUCGCUGUCAGUCUGCUGUUACCUCGCUCUGCAAGCUCUCUGAAGGCCUCCUGGUCACCCUGCCAGUGAAGGAAGGAUCCCGACCCAAAGCAGACGCACGGCGCUAACAGCAGACAGAGGAGACGGACGGCAGCUUCCAGCGGCCACACGCAUCACAGGCCAGCAGGAAGACCUGGCCAUGCGGGGCUCCUGGGGCGACCCACGGGAGCAGCCAGCCAGCA